rnacentral:misc_RNA from 1 species
GCUAGCUCAAGAGGCACAAAGUUCCCAUCCAAAUCUCUACACACUCAUCACUCGUUACCCAUUUUUUUUUUUCAUCUUCUUCGAUUAGCAAUUUACGAUCAUCUUAUCCCUCAAAAUACCCAAAUUACGCUUGUAAAAUCAAGGGAAAUUGCCAAAAUUCUGUUCCAGAACAAGAAGAGGAAAGCAAAUGGAGAAAGCUAAAGCUUUUCUUGAAUUAACCCAGGGAGAAUCGGACCGGGUUUCGUCUCUUGCUUUUCCUCCUCAUCGGCUCGGUACCGAGUGUAGCUUCUAUGAGUACUAUUCUCUCAGAGGGAUCCGGGUUGACCGAAUUGAACCGGGUCAACUUUUUUGCACCUUCAAAGUUCCUCCUCGUCUCACUGAUAGAGAAGGGAAACUAGCAUCUGGUGCCAUUGCUAAUCUAGUUGAUGAAGUUGGGGGUGCGGUAGUCUACGUGGAGGGUCUCCCCAUGAAUGUAUCAGUGGACAUGUCGAUUUCAU